CCUUGACAGUUACAUUAAGUGACUGACAUUUGCCAAGACAAGGAGAUUGACAUG
rnacentral:ncRNA from 12 species